AUACGGAGGGUGCAAGCGUUACUCGGAAUCACUGGGCGUAAAGCGCGCGCAGGCGGCUUGAUAAGUUGGAUGUGAAAGCCUACGGCUCAACCGUAGAACUGCAUCCAAAACUGUCAGGCUAGAGUGUGGGAGAGGAAGAUGGAAUUAGUUGUGUAGGGGUAAAAUCCGUAGAGAUAACUAGGAAUACCAAAAGCGAGGGCAAUCUUCUGGAACACUACUGACGCUGAGGCGCGAAGGCGUGGGGAGCAAACAGGAUUAGAAACCCUAGUAGUCC
rnacentral:rRNA from 1 species